GGCGCGGCCGGGCGGCGCGGCGGGCGCGGCGGGUGCCCUCCGGGAGGGACCCGGCUUAGGUGAGGAAGGUGGGAAGCUCUUCCAAGCAGGUGAAGGGUUGCACUUACAACGUGAUCCAGAAGCCAUCGAGAUAAGGCGGGGCUCCAGCCACUGGAGGAUGAGGAUCCUGGGGAUCGAUGAGGACACUAGGAGAAGGCGACAGCAGGGCCAGGGCAGGGGUGGCCUUUGACAGUGGAGACCAGCAGUUUACCCAGGACAGGUGUCUGGUGACGGUUUCCGAAAAGCAGACAGACCAAAGGAAAGCUUUCCUCUUGUGUCUCCCUUCGUCGCCACUAACACGCAGUUGCUGCAAGCCUGGCGUGAAGAGUGGACACCCAGUCUGGCCUUGCCUUCAUUGUGGCACUAUGCUGAACCCUCUGCAGAUGUACCGAUCCCUGCAGGAGCUCUGCUGGGCACAUGUUGCCAUCCCUGUUUUAAAGAUGAAGAAGCCUGGGCUUCAUGGAAGCUGAGUUAGGGAUUGACAUCUUGGAUGCUUUCAAUUGAUGAAAAUGGUUUUAGGGGCCCAGGAGCAAGAUAUCAGGAACUGGUGGGGGGAUGGUGUCAGCUGGAUGGCAUCUGCUGGGGGGCAGUGAGUCUCCGCUCCUGCUGAUUGUGGACCUGUGGGACUGUGGCCCAGUGCAACUUCAUCUGUUUUCUUUCUUUCUUUUUUUUUUUUUUUCAUCUAUUUUCUAGAAGCAGCCGGAAAUGUGACAUUUUGUAGAAAGAUCAUGCUUUGUAAAUGUUGGCAAAGAAUUGUGUAAGGUGUUCAAAACAUGCAAUCAAGCAGGCUCAGUUGGUGAAAAAUCUGCCAUCGGCUCAGGUCAUAAUCUAGGGGUCCUGGAAUAGAGGCUUGCAUUGGGCUCCCUGCUCAGCUCUCUCUGUGUCUUUCAGAUAAAUAAAUAAAACCUUUUUUUAAAAAAAAGACAUUGUUUA